rnacentral:rRNA from 1 species
UACGGAGGGUGCGAGCGUUGCUCGGAAUCACUGGGCGUAAAGCGUACGCAGGCCGUUUUGUAAGUCGGGUGUGAAAGCCCGGGGCUCAACCCCGGAACUGCGCCCGAGACUGCAGGACUUGAAUGCGGGAGAGGAAAGCGGAAUUCCUGGUGUAGAGGUGAAAUUCGUAGAUAUCAGGAGGAACACCUGUGGCGAAAGCGGCUUUCUGGUCCAGCACCGACGUUCAGGCACGAAAGCGUGGGGAGCAAACAGG